AGCAGUUUCAAAACUGAACAAUUUCCAGUUUAAUUGAUUAAAUGAAAUUCACCAAUUUGCCACUGGAUAAUGUUGUUUUGCAAGUUAUUUUGUUAUUGCAGUUUAACCCCCCCCCUCCCCACUGGAGAUGAGAGGCUGUAGAGGAAUUUGUUGUGGUGACAAUGAAUCAUUCUAAUCAAAGUCAGUAUGGGCUCUGAGAAACACGCAGGAGACAAGAUCUGCCGCAGUCAUUGUUAGCAAGAACUACCAGUUUAAUAAAGUGGACCACACAGACAGCACGAUAGCCUUGCAGAGGAGAGCGUUUCUCACGAGUGGAUUUACAACUGACUGACCAAUCAACCUUCAUCAGAACUUUCUGAAGUAGUGGUGGUGGGAAAGCGGUGGUGGGAAAGCUAGGUUUUCAGGGAGGUUGCUGACAGCCAGGUGAUGACCAGCAUCUUUCACCAGUAGUCUCCUGGUCUUCCACUGCGUCUCCAAUUUCUUGCCACCACAGACGGAUGUUUCAGUGAAGUAGUUUUGCUCCAACCUCUCUGCCAUCUGCCAUGCGAUGGGCGCUAGAGCACAUCCCGUUGAGGAAGUCGGUAGCUAUGGGUGGAGGAGCAAAGUUCAAGUUAACAAAGCUAAUGUUUAAUGGUAGCUACUAGAGAUCCUGG